GUAGGUGAACCUGCGGAAGGAUCAUCACCAAAAAAAAAACAAAAACAAAAACAAACAAAAACAGGAGAGAGAGGGAGAAGAAGAAAAUUUUUUUCUUUUUUCUUUCUUUCUUGUGCCCCGUGAAUUAUUAUUACUAUUAUUACCAUGCGUAAUAAUAGUGAUGAUAAUAACAAAAAACAAUAAACCCAAUUAUUUUAAAUAAUCGUAUUUUAUAUUAUUUCUUUUUUUUUUUUUCUUCUUGAAAAAAAAA
rnacentral:misc_RNA from 1 species